AUUGAACGCUGGCGGCAUGUCUUACACAUGCAAGUCGAACGGCAGCACGGGUGCUUGCACCUGGUGGCGAGUGGCGAACGGGUGAGUAGUACAUCGGAACAUGUCCUGUAGUGGGGGAUAGCCCGGCGAAAGCCGGAUUAAUACCGCAUACGAUCCACGGAUGAAAGCGGGGGACCUUCGGGCCUCGCGCUAUAGGGUUGGCCGAUGGCUGAUUAGCUAGUUGGUGGGGUAAAGGCCUACCAAGGCGACGAUCAGUAGCUGGUCUGAGAGGACGACCAGCCACACUGGGACUGAGACACGGCCCAGACUCCUACGGGAGGCAGCAGUGGGGAAUUUUGGACAAUGGGCGAAAGCCUGAUCCAGCAAUGCCGCGUGUGUGAAGAAGGCCUUCGGGUUGUAAAGCACUUUUGUCCGGAAAGAAAUCCUUGACUCUAAUACAGUCGGGGGAUGACGGUACCGGAAGAAUAAGCACCGGCUAACUACGUG
rnacentral:rRNA from 1 species